rnacentral:rRNA from 1 species
UUUCGGACGGGUGAGUAACGCGUGAGAAUCUAGCUCUAGGUCGGGGACAACCACUGGAAACGGUGGCUAAUACCGGAUGUGCCGAAAGGUGAAAGAUUUAUUGCCUAGAGAUGAGCUCGCGUCUGAUUAGCUAGUUGGUGUGGUAAGAGCGCACCAAGGCGACGAUCAGUAGCUGGUCUGAGAGGAUGAUCAGCCACACUGGGACUGAGACACGGCCCAGACUCCUACGGGAGGCAGCAGUGGGGAAUUUUCCGCAAUGGGCGAAAGCCUGACGGAGCAAUACCGCGUGAGGGAGGAAGGCUCUUGGGUUGUAAACCUCUUUUCUCAGGGAAUAAGAAAGUGAAGGUACCUGAGGAAUAAGCAUCGGCUAACUCCGUGCCAGCAGCCGCGGUAAUACGGAGGAUGCAAGCGUUAUCCGGAAUGAUUGGGCGUAAAGCGUCCGCAGGUGGCACUGUAAGUCUGCUGUUAAAGAGCAAGGCUCAACCUUGUAAAGGCAGUGGAAACUACAGAGCUAGAGUACGUUCGGGGCAGAGGGAAUUCCUGGUGUAGCGGUGAAAUGCGUAGAGAUCAGGAAGAACACCGGUGGCGAAAGCGCUCUGCUAGGCCGUAACUGACACUGAGGGACGAAAGCUAGGGGAGCGAAUGGGAUUAGAUACCCCUGUAGUCCAGAAAA